UGGGGAAUCUUCCGCAAUGGACGAAAGUCUGACGGAGCAACGCCGCGUGUAUGAUGAAGGUCUUCGGAUUGUAAAGUACUGUCAUUGGGGAAGAACGGUUUUCUUGAAAAGAUUGAGAAGACAUGACGGUACCCAAGGAGGAAGCCCCGGCUAACUACGUGCCAGCAGCCGCGGUAAUACGUAGGGGGCAAGCGUUGUCCGGAAUUAUUGGGCGUAAAGGGCGCGUAGGCGGGCCUUUAAGUCCGGUGUGAAAGAUCAGGGCUCAACCCUGAGAGUGCAUCGGAAACUGGAGGCCUUGAGGACAGGAGAGGAAAGUGGAAUUCCACGUGUAGCGGUGAAAUGCGUAGAUAUGUGGAGGAACACCAGUGGCGAAGGCGACUUUCUGGACUGUAACUGACGCUGAGGCGCGAAAGCGUGGGGAGCAAACAGGAUUAGAUACCCUGGUAGUCCACGCCGUAAACGGUGAGUGCUAGGUGUAGAGGGUAUCGACCCCUUCUGUGCCGCAGUUAACACAAUAAGCACUCCGCCUGGGGAGUACGGCCGCAAGGUUGAAACUUAAAUGAAUUGACGGGGUCAUAGCUGUUUCCU
rnacentral:rRNA from 1 species